GCUCGGGUGGUGAAAUGGCAGACACGCUAGCUUGAGGGGCUAGUGGGCGAUUAGCCCGUGGAGGUUCGAGUCCUCUCCCGAGCA
rnacentral:tRNA from 1 species